rnacentral:rRNA from 1 species
GACGAACGCUGGCGGCGUGCUUAACACAUGCAAGUCGAACGGAAAGGCCCUGCUUUUGUGGGGUGCUCGAGUGGCGAACGGGUGAGUAACACGUGAGUAACCUGCCCUUGACUUUGGGAUAACUUCAGGAAACUGGGGCUAAUACCGGAUAGGAGCUCCUGCUGCAUGGUGGGGGUUGGAAAGUUUCGGCGGUUGUGGAUGGACUCGCGGCUUAUCAGCUUGUUGGUGGGGUAGUGGCUUACCAAGGCUUUGACGGGUAGCCGGCCUGGGAGGGUGGCCGGCCACCUUGGGCCUGCGAUACGGCCCAGACUUCUACGGGAGGCAGCAGUGGGGAAUAUUGCACAAUGGGCGGAAGCCUGAUGCAGCAACGCCGCGUGCGGGAUGACGGCCUUCGGGUUGUAAACCGCUUUCGCCUGUGACGAAGCGUGAGUGACGGUAAUGGGUAAAGAAGCACCGGCUAACUACGUG